rnacentral:rRNA from 1 species
AGUGAACGCUGGCGGUAGGCCUAACACAUGCAAGUCGAACGGCAGCACAGUAAGAGCUUGCUCUUACGGGUGGCGAGUGGCGGACGGGUGAGGAAUACAUCGGAAUCUACUUUUUCGUGGGGGAUAACGUAGGGAAACUUACGCUAAUACCGCAUACGACCUGCGGGUGAAAGCAGGGGAUCUUCGGACCUUGCGCGAUUAAAUGAGCCGAUGUCGGAUUAGCUAGUUGGCGGGGUAAAGGCCCACCAAGGCGACGAUCCGUAGCUGGUCUGAGAGGAUGAUCAGCCACACUGGAACUGAGACACGGUCCAGACUCCUACGGGAGGCAGCAGUGGGGAAUAUUGGACAAUGGGCGCAAGCCUGAUCCAGCCAUACCGCGUGGGUGAAGAAGGCCUUCGGGUUGUAAAGCCCUUUUGUUGGGAAAGAAAAGCAGCAGGUUAAUACCCCGCUGUUCUGACGGUACCCAAAGAAUAAGCACCGGCUAACUUCGUG